UUUUGAUUACCCGUUUGCUCCAACAGCAAAAAAAAAAAAAAAAAAAAAAAAAAUUCUACGAUUACGCUUUCACAGCUUUGUAAAAAAAGAUAAAAAUAUACAGCGCUGGAUAACAGCAUUAAGAAGAGACAAACAGGCCAAAUUUUCUGUCACUCCUUCAUCAGCUGUGUUAGAAGCCUCAUUGCAGUUGUGGUAACAAUAAAUAAAAACGUAUUUCAGGGUAAUAUAAUACAAAGUACAAUGUUAUACAUUUACACUAAAUAUUUUUAAAAUUGGAAAUGUAAUUUUCUUUGUUGUUGUUGCUACAUUUACGUUGUUAAAGAAGGCGGAAACGUAUGGAAGCAGACCUGUCACACCAGAUUUUGAAAUUUAAAAGCCAUUGAAUUUCUAGCACUGAAUUUUUCAGCAUUGAAACUAUGUGAAUUUUUUGCCUCUGAAUUAAACUUCAAUAAAUUUAAAUUUCAAUAACUCAUUUUCACUUUUAUUUUUCAGUGUUCACAAAUUAAAAUAAUUUAUAUUCGAGUUGCUCGAAUUCGACAGGCCAAAUUCAGAUGAAUUCUGGUUAAAUUCUUGUUAAAUUCGGUGUUAAAAAUUUCAGAUGAACCAUCCAGGACACCAAGGAUAAGCAAUCGAAUCUGGAUGAAAUCGAACCAACAACAUCCAGUCAAGUUACACUCCAUUGGUCACGUGACGCCGAUGCUUGAAAUUACAGGAAUCACAACUAACCCAAACGAUGGGGCUUCGACAACUUGAUGUCUCAAAUCAAGAUAUGGGAGAACAGAGGCAGGGAGGUCACAGCAGUUCAGCCAGAAAGACCAUCACUUCAAAUGGAAAUGUCCAGAUUAAGACUUAAAGCACAAGUUAGUUAUUUUAAAUGCAAGCAGUAUGUAUACAUAUUUUGGCGUACUGUUGAUUUGUACAGGCAAAAUUCCACCUGUUACUUACAGUAAGUAAUGAUACACAUAGUGUUGUGUUGCAUGCUCUAUUUCUUACCAAUAUUGCAGACAUUCAAAUCUAAGUUAGUGAACUGUGGAAUAAAAGUAUUUGAUGUUUUGUGACCAUAAGUAAAAUAAAGACCUGUUUCACUUUAGGCUAAUGUGAAAUUUGUUUAUGAAAAGAAAAAAUAUCAUGGUUCUUGAAGUGCCACGUUUUUCUAUUUUCAUCUGUGUCGUGCAAGGCAAUGUUCAAAAAUGCUUAUUGUAACAUUGUUGUCUUUUAAUAUAAUUAGAAAAAAACAGAUAAUGGGAUAGUAGUGAUAGUUCAUGUUUUAACGCUUAUUUUCUAUAGGUCCUUUCCAGGUAUUUUUACCAAGGGCCGAGGAAAGAGGUGCUUGUUCCUGCCAAGAGACUUAAACCACUUGAAGUGGCUUUCUAAUUGUUGCCAAAGCAGUGUGAAAAAACUCCAAACGAGCAGGAGCGAAUAGUCCAUAUGCAGGCAGGGUUGGGCCGUAGGACUGCUUAUCUAGAUGAGAGCACAACACAUGAAGAGGUAACAACAUGCAACUAGUUAUUUAGGCUAGCUGUACAAAAAACGAGAAUCCAUAUGUUGUAUUCUGAUAUGCUGUGAAGCACACAUCUCAAACAGGUUUGAUGUAGAACCAAAGAUAGUCAUUUUUGCCUAAGUUAAAUGGACAAAACUCACGGUUAGGGUUAAUUAUGAAUUAGGAUGAAUGCCAUUUUGAGGAUACUUUUAUAUCCAAAGUACCUCACAGAAACAUAAGUCCAUAGAUUGUGGAAUGAGUGAAUCAAACCUCUAUUCUUUUAAAUGCUGGUAACAUUCUCUACUAGACAUUUGGUUUAAUCAAGCUACCUUGUUUCAGAGUAUUAAUCUUAAAUACAUGGCAAAUUAUUUUUUUUUCCCAAGGACUUGCUAGUUUGUCGUAUACUUUUUUGCUUACAAUUAUGUGAUGCCCUCAAAGUUUUAUUUUCAAAACUGGGGACAGUUACUGGUGAGUGGCUGCUUUACAAAUCUUCAAGUAGGCCAACACAAGUUUGUGUGUUAGUGUUGCUCAUUCAUAAAAAAGUAAUGGGGUAGCUGAAAACUCUCUCUUGUGGCUCCUGAUGAUACUGGCUGUACAAGCAGGAUCUUGAAGGCUGCAAGUCGUGGGGGUAAAAAUCUUAUUCAUAGCCCCAAUUCAAGAACCUAACUGAUGAAGCAUUUAGUUGCUUGCCAAAAGCCACAUUUCAGAAGUGUGGAGUAGCAGUUCCCCUGCAUCUCCUGACAGAACACAUCAAGUCUUGUGGUGUCAUUGAUGUUGGCAGUGACGAUAACCUGGAUAGCGGUGAGCUUGAAGAGAGAAAAUGUAAGAAUUCUUCAUUUAAGCUUUUGUUAGCAUACAAUAUAUUAUUAAACACCAGAAUAAAUUCAGAAACAGUUUGUUUGAAAAUAACACUGUUGUUCUUGCUUGUAACUUCAAUUUCUCAACAGCAACUAUGCAGCAGUGUCCUGUCUGCACAGAAAUGUUUCCAACUGACUUUGAGGUACAUGCUUUUUCAUGUGGGAAAAGGUAUCCAUUUACUUUUUAUUGUUGAUGUUUUUUCUCUCAUCAGCAAUUGUCUUACUCUUUGUUUUACACACACAGUGCAAGCGUAACACACAAAAAAUUUGUAUGUGGGUAGUACAGGAAAUUAGGUGAUGCAUGAAAGUACUGUCAGUGAGGAAGAGCAAGCAGCAAUGCCUGGACCGUCCGGAACUUGUGUAACAGUUACAGAUGGUAGGUGCUGCUCAGGGUUAGAAGUGGUGUAGGAAAGUUAAGGAAGGUUAUAGUGCAGUAAAAAUCGGCAUGCCACAAAGCAUGGCCAGCUCUUGAUGUAAGCCAUGAAUUGUUUACAUUUAAAAGCUACCUUGGUAUGUAGCAUAGCAGUAAUUUAAUAUUACAACAAUUUCAAUUAUAAUACUUUUCAAUCUCAGCACAAUCUUCAAAGCUCAGCGUUAUGGAGUGCCAGAGUGGUUGUCCCAUUAACUCACAUGUUCAUUAUAUAUAUAUAUAUAUAUAUAUAUAUAUAUAUAUUAUAGUAGUCAAUGAAUAAGUUGCUAAUGUUACUUUUUUUUAUGCCUAAGUAAGGCUUGAUGGCUUUAACUUGUGAUUUGAAUCUACAGUACAUGUUAAUGUUUUUUUUGCUAUCUUGACAGUCAAGCAUAAAUAAUGAAACAACCACGUUUUUAUAUUUUUCUUAUUAGGCUGGUUAACUAUCAGUGACCCUACCAAGGCCAUAUCUCAGUGUGCGAAUCAUUUUCGCCGUAUUCUUGAAAUGGAGAGUCCCUUACUUCUCAGCAUGGACAUCAGAAGAAGUCCUGCUGAACAGGACAUGGCCCUUAUUUCCUUUUACAAGCGACUUAAUGUGGAAUGGGCACGACCCCUGAAUUGCAGACUUGAAGGAGAUGCUUCUAUUGGAGAGGGUGUAACUUCUUUUUUUUUUGUCAACAUGCAUGGAAAAGCUGAAGUUUGGGUUUUGCAUCAAUUUUGGUAUGUAUGUUAUGUGUAUGGCAUCCUUGCAAAUGCUAUGUUUAUUUUAGGUUGCAUAAUAAAAAAAAUUUUUAUAUA